GACGUAGGGUGCGAGCGUUGUCCGGAUUUAUUGGGCGUAAAGAGCUCGUAGGCGGCUCGUCGCGUCAGCUGUGAAAACCGGCAGCUUAACUGUGGGCUUGCAGCUGAUACGGGCGGGCUAGAGUUCGGUAGGGGAGACUGGAAUUCCUGGUGUAGCGGUGAAAUGCGCAGAUAUCAGGAGGAACACCGGUGGCGAAGGCGGGUCUCUGGGCCGAUACUGACGCUGAGGCGCGAAAGCGUGGGGAGCAAACAGG
rnacentral:rRNA from 1 species